rnacentral:rRNA from 1 species
UGGCUCAGGAUGAACGCAGCGACAGGCUUAACACAUGCAAGUCGAGGGGCAGCGGGGGUGAUGGCUUGCCAUCACCUGCCGGCGACCGGCGCACGGGUGAGUAACACGUAUGCAACCUGCCCGCCACAGGGGGAUAAGCGGAAGAAAUUCCGUCUAAUACCGCGUGACGCGGCGCCGGGGCAUCCCGGUGCCGCCAAAGGGAUUACCGGUGGCGGAUGGGCAUGCGGCGCAUUAGCUAGUCGGCGGGGUAACGGCCCACCGAGGCGACGAUGCGUAGGGGUUCUGAGAGGAAGGUCCCCCACACUGGUACUGAGACACGGACCAGACUCCUACGGGAGGCAGCAGUGAGGAAUAUUGGUCAAUGGGCGCGAGCCUGAACCAGCCAAGUCGCGUGAGGGAUGACGGUCCUACGGAUUGUAAACCUCUUUUGCCGGGGAGCAAGCGUGCGUUCGUGAACGCGCGUCGAGAGUACCCGGAGAAAAAGCAUCGGCUAACUCCGUGCCAGCAGCCGCGGUAAUACGGAGGAUGCGAGCGUUAUCCGGAUUUAUUGGGUUUAAAGGGUGCGUAGGCGGGAUGCCAAGUCAGCGGUAAAAAUGCGGUGCUCAACGCCGUCGAGCCGUUGAAACUGGCGUUCUUGAGUGGGCGAGAAGUAUGCGGAAUGCGUGGUGUAGCGGUGAAAUGCAUAGAUAUCACGCAGAACUCCGAUUGCGAAGGCAGCAUACCGGCGCCCUACUGACGCUGAGGCACGAAAGCGUGGGUAUCGAACAGGAUUAGAUACCCUGGUAGUCCACGCAGUAAACGAUGAAUGCUAACUGUCCGGCUCGAAUGAGCGCUGGGCGGUACAGCGAAAGCGUUAAGCAUCCACCAGGGGAGUACGCCGGCAACGGUGAAACUCAAAGGAAUUGACGGGGCCCCCACAAGCGGAGGAACAUGUGGUUUAAUUCGAUGAUACGCGAGGACCUUACCCGGGCUCAAACGCAGGAUGACGGGUCCCGAAAGGGGUCUAUCAUCGGACAUUCUGCGAGGUGCUGCAUGGUUGUCGUCAGCUCGUGCCGUGAGGUGUCGGCUUAAGUGCCAUAACGAGCGCAACCCCUGUCCACAGUUGCCAGCAGGUAAAGCUGGGGACUCUGUGGAGACUGCCGGCGCAAGCUGCGAGGAAGGCGGGGAUGACGUCAAAUCAGCACGGCCCUUACGUCCGGGGCGACACACGUGUUACAAUGGCAGGUACAGCGGGAUGCCACGGGGCGACCCGGCGCUGAACCCGAAAACCUGUCUCAGUUCGGAUUGGAGUCUGCAACCCGACUCCAUGAAGCUGGAUUCGCUAGUAAUCGCGCAUCAGCCACGGCGCGGUGAAUACGUUCCCGGGCCUUGUACACACCGCCCGUCAAGCCAUGGAAGCCGGGGGUACCUGAAGUGCGUGACCGCGAGGAGCGCCCUAGGGUAAAACUCGGUGACUGGGGCUAAGUCGUAACAAGGUA